UACGUAGGGUGCAAGCGUUGUCCGGAAUUAUUGGGCGUAAAGGGCUCGUAGGCGGUCUGUUGCGUCAGGAGUGAAAACUCGGGGCUUAACCCCCGAGCCUGCUUCUGAUACGGGCAGACUAGAGGUAUGCAGGGGAGAACGGAAUUCCUGGUGUAGCGGUGGAAUGCGCAGAUAUCAGGAAGAACACCCGUGGCGAAGGCGGCUCUCUGGGACGGUACUGACGCUGAGACGCGAAAGCGUGGGGAGCGAACAGG
rnacentral:rRNA from 1 species